rnacentral:rRNA from 1 species
CGACCGGCGCACGGGUGAGUAACACGUAUGCAAUCCACCUGUAACAGGGGGGAUAACCCGGAGAAAUCCGGACUAAUACCCCAUAAUAUGGGCUCUCCGCAUGGAGGGUCCAUUAAAGAGAGCAAUUUUGGUUACAGACGAGCAUGCGCUCCAUUAGCCAGUUGGCGGGGUAACGGCCCACCAAAGCGACGAUGGAUAGGGGUUCUGAGAGGAAGGUCCCCCACAUUGGAACUGAGACACGGUCCAA